UACGGAGGGUGCAAGCGUUAUCCGGAUUCACUGGGUUUAAAGGGUGCGUAGGAGGGCAGGUAAGUCAGUGGUGAAAUCCCCGAGCUUAACUUGGGAACUGCCGUUGAUACUAUCUGUCUUGAAUAUUGUGGAGGUGAGCGGAAUAUGUCAUGUAGCGGUGAAAUGCUUAGAUAUGACAUAGAACACCCAUUGCGAAGGCAGCUUACUACACAAUUAUUGACGCUGAGGCACGAAAGCGUGGGGAUCAAACAGG
rnacentral:rRNA from 1 species